ensembl:lncRNA
UAUUGGAGUGAUAGGUGCUGCGGAGAAGAGAGUGGCUCCAGCAGAGCCUUGAAUAGGAGAAUGCGGCUUAGUCAGGGAGGUCGGGCAAGGCUUCCUGGUUGAGAAUAAGCCUCUCUGUAAGGAUUUGCACUGGAGCUAGGGACAGCUGGCAGAGUGUUUGUUCGAAGAGGGAUCAGCAAGCCCAAAGGCACUGUGAUGAGAGGAAGCCAGCAUUUCCCAGUCUUAGCUCUACCCGUAAAACCAAGGCAUCUCUUUAAUUGCCUAAUAAGAUCUAUGG